GGAACAGUAAGCCUAAGGAGCUCUUUCGUGAAGGGGUGGCUCAGGGCUGGGGGAGGUGGGUGGCCCAGUUUAAAGACAGAUUCCCUUGAGUUAAGGGAACAGGCCGAGAAGUCAUAUGACCAAGUGACAUCGUGAUUCACGAGACUGUACCUCAGACUCAAGCCAAUCUGCACGACCGCUGCUUCUGAACGCGGAGCCCUGGAGGAGUCGCCAGGAACAGAGCUAGACAUCCCGGAGGGGACCUGGAAGAGGCUGGGAGCAACCACGGGAUGGCCUGACCCCUCCGCAGAUAGACCUCCUAGCUCUCAACUUGGUCCAAGAACAUCAAGACCCUCAGCCCUGCCUUGGACCUAUGGGAGUCGUAGUCCGGACGUGAGUCCCAGCGUCCCGUGCGCCGCUGACGCACCGUAGCCGAGGGACCCGGCCGGGCGCCACGCUACGGAGGCGGCGUAAAGCGAGUCGUGUUUGGGCGGCUCUACGGAGGCUGCGUAAGAAGGCCGGGCCGGGAGCUCCGCGGCUGAGGCGUGCUGGUCGGGGCAGCGCGCCCAGGGACGAGUAAGGCUGCACCAUUCUCCUUGAAGUUGAGGAUCAGUCCACGGAGACGCCAUUCAGCCGCAAACGCUAAAGAGGCCCCGCUGCUCUCAGAGGGAAAUACAGCUAGCUCUGGUGCUUUCUGGAGCCCUUGCCUUCUUGAAGAGGCAGCUGUGCGGACACUAGAGCUCACUGAGGAAAGAAGUGCCAAGAGUUCUGUUUUGGGUCCAGGACCUACACUCCUUCAACUCCUCUCCACCUCUCUUUGGGGCCAAUGGAGGACUUGAUCCUUCCUGUCCUGACUUCAACUGGGCCCUCAGGCUGUUUGGGCCUGGGCUGCUCCUGAUGCUACUUGGCAAACAAGAAAUAUUGUAGUGCUUAAAAACAAGAGUGCUCUUCUUGUACCCCUUUUUCCCUGUAAAAAUAGUAUUCCACAUUAAAUAUUGAACUUGUGAACUAAAAAAUGAAGUCCUGGGCUGGGGAUUUAGCUCAGUUUUGCUGCCAC
rnacentral:lncRNA from 1 species